GGAGUAAAAGUCGUAACAAGGUCUCCGUAGGUGAACCUGCGGAGGGAUCAUUACAGAGUUCAUGCCCUACCGGGUAGAUCUCCCACCCUAUGUUAUUAUUACUUUGUUGCUUUGGCGGGCCGUUAGGCUCCGGCCCGACUACCGGCCCCGGCUGGUAAGCGCCCGCCAGAGGACCCAAAACCCUGAAUAUUAGUGUCGUCUGAGUACUACAUAAUAGUUAAAACUUUCAACAACGGAUCUCUCGGUUCUG
rnacentral:misc_RNA from 1 species